rnacentral:rRNA from 1 species
AUUUCCGAAUGGGGAAACCCGGCCGUAAGGUCAUCUUUAUCUGAAUACAUAGGAUAAAGAAGCGAACCCGGAGAACUGAAUCAUCUAAGUAACCGGAGGAAAAGAAAUCAAUUGAGAUUCCCUUAGUAGCGGCGAGCGAAAGGGGACCAGCCGAGCAACCGGCGAUAGUGGAAUGGUCUGGAAAGUCCAGCGAUACAAGGUGAUAGCCCU